rnacentral:misc_RNA from 1 species
AAGUCGUAACAAGGUUUCCGUAGGUGAACCUGCGGAAGGAUCAUUAUUGAAUACGUUUGGUUCUGAUGCUGGCUCUUCACUGAGCAUGUGCUCGAUCCAUAACUAUUUAUCUUCUCUUGUGCACCUUUUGUAGUCUUUCAAAGAAGUGAUAACUCCUCGCAGCAAUGCGGUUUGGGGGACUUGGGCGUGAGCCCUUCCCCUGCUUUUGCUUUUUCUGAAGGGCUAUGUUUUCAUAUACACUAUAAAGUUACAGAAUGUCUUUUAAAGAUUGUGCUAGUCGCAGUCAUUAAACCUAUACAACUUUCAGCAACGGAUCUCUUGGCUCUCCCAUCGAUGAAGAACGCAGCGAAAUGCGAUAAGUAAUGUGAAUUGCAGAAUUCAGUGAAUCAUCGAAUCUUUGAACGCACCUUGCGCCCUUUGGUAUUCCGAAGGGCAUGCCUGUUUGAGUGUCAUUAAAUUCUCAACCCAAAAAGCUUUUACUAGCUCUUUUGUGGCUUGGAUGUGGGGGUUUUUGCUGGCUUCCUUCAGUGGAUGGUCUGCUCCCCUUAAAUACAUUAGUGGGAUCUCUUGUGGACCGUCACUUGGUGUGAUAAUUAUCUAUGCCAGUUGACUUUGAAGCAAAACUUAUGGGAACCCGCUCAUAACCGUCUUCGGACAACUUAUUGACAUUUUGACCUCAAAUCAGGUAGGACUACCCGCUGAACUUAAGCAUAUCAAUAAGCGGAGGAAAAGAAACUAACAAGGAUUCCCCUAGUAACUGCGAGUGAAGCGGGAAAAGCUCAAAUUUAAAAUCUGGCGUGCCUUUGGUCGUCCGAGUUGUAGUCUGGAGAA